CCCUUCGGGGUACUCGAGCGGCGAACGGGUGAGUAACACGUGAGCAACCUGCCCCUAGCACCGGGAUAGCUCCGGGAAACCGGAAUUAAUACCGGAUAUGACCACGGCCGACAUCGGCCACGGUGGAAAGGUUUUCCGGCUAGGGAUGGGCUCGCGGCCUAUCAGCUUGUUGGUGGGGUAACGGCCCACCAAGGCGACGACGGGUAGCCGGCCUGAGAGGGCGACCGGCCACACUGGGACUGAGACACGGCCCAG
rnacentral:rRNA from 1 species